UAGACCUCAGAUCAGACAGGA
rnacentral:rRNA from 1 species